rnacentral:rRNA from 1 species
GAUGAACGCUGGCGGCGUGCUUAACACAUGCAAGUCGAACGGUGAAGCAGGAGCUUGCUCUUGUGGAUCAGUGGCGAACGGGUGAGUAACACGUGAGCAACCUGCCCCUGACUCUGGAUAAGCGCUGGAAACGGCGUCUAAUACUGGAUAUGUGAUGUGACCGCAUGGUCUGCAUCUGGAAAGAAUUUCGGUUGGGGAUGGGCUCGCGGCCUAUCAGCUUGUUGGUGAGGUAAUGGCUCACCAAGGCGUCGACGGGUAGCCGGCCUGAGAGGGGGACCGGCCACACUGGGACUGAGACACGGCCCAGACUCCUACGGGAGGCAGCAGUGGGGGAUAUUGCACAAUGGGCGGAAGCCUGAUGCAGCAACGCCGCGUGAGGGAUGACGGCCUUCGGGUUGUAAACCUCUUUUAGCAGGGAAGAAGCGAAAGUGACGGUACCUGCAGAAAAAGCACCGGCUAACUACGUGCCAGCCGCCGCCGUAA